AGCAGAAUAGCUCAGUUGGUUAGAGCACUGGUGGCGCAAAAAAUCACCUAAGAGGUCCUUGGUUUGAUUCCAGGUUCAGCUA